UUCGAUGCUCAGUUGGGAGAGCGUCAGACUGAAGAUCUGAAGGUCGCGUGUUCGAUCCACGUUCAUCGCAA
rnacentral:tRNA from 1 species